rnacentral:rRNA from 1 species
AUACAGAGACUGCAAGCGUUAUUCGGAUUCACUGGGCGUAAAGGGUGCGCAGGCGGCCGAGUGUGUUAGACGUGAAAUCCCGUCGCUCAACGACGGAACUGCAUCUAAAACUACUUGGCUAGAGUACUGGAGAGGGUAGCGGAAUUCACGGUGUAGCAGUGAAAUGCGUAGAUAUCGUGAGGAACACCAAUGGCGAAGGCAGCUACCUGGACAGUUACUGACGCUCAGGCACGAAAGCGUGGGGAGCAAAAGGGAUUAGAUACCCCUGUAGUCCACGCCCUAAACGGUGCACACUAGGUCUUGGCGGAUUCGACCCCGUCAGGGCCCAAGCUAACGCGUUAAGUGUGCCGCCUGAGGACUACGGUCGCAAGACUAAA